GGCGUUUUGUUCACUUGACGCACAACUGUAUACACACGAGUAUACUAUUGUAGGUGGGCCUUACUGAAUUCAUGCCGCAUCGGACGGUUAACCGCACAAUAAUAUUAUCUGCGAUCCGCGUGCACGCGAAAUGUUCAGAUAUAUUUAUUUCGCCGUGUGCCUGUUGUGUCUGUUUUACAUACUCGCUACGUGUUACGCGUUAAUGAUCAAUUUAAAGACCUGAUGUUUAAUUCGGUCGCUGCACAUGACGACGAGUAAGUAAACAAUGGUAUCGCAACAAUAUUAUUACUCGUUCACUCGUUCACGUAUCGUCAUAUUUUGUGGGCGGUUGAUACCGUAUCCGUCGCAGCGAAGAGGUAACGUGUAAGCAUUUAUUAUCAUCAUUACUUUUUUUUUCCCGUUGUCCACCAAACUCGUGCUCCACCGUAAAUCCAUCAUUGUGUCCAUAUAUAAUGUAUUAUGCACAAAUUCGUUGGCGGUAUUAGAUUAAUAAUACAUACUUGUGUAAAAUACAAUCACGUUUUUCUUCUAGUACUCAACAUUCGAAAUAUAUAGGUGUUAACUCGGGUGUUGUAUAUUGAUGUAUUUGACGAAAAAUAGUCCGACGGCGGUGCGAUUAUUUUAUACAAUGACGAUGUUUUACAUGUUUUAAUACAAGGUGUUGGAUGAUCAAUCCUCGACAAGACGUCUCUCUCAUCUCGGAAGUAUUACUUUUUUCCGGAAAUUAUUCGGUUUUCAUUUAGAUCAUUUAUGAAACGAGCAACUUUAAAAUGUUACAUUACCGUUAUUUUUCGUCAUAACUAUUUUUGGAGUUGAAACGCUGCCCAUUUUUAAUUUUCAAACGACAACUUAUAUUAAAAUUUCCAUGAAUGGGUGAAAUUUUAGAUUAUAGACAUUUUCAAUUUCCGUCAAAACUAUUGACGUUGGUAUUGCAAUUUUAAGUUCGGGUAAAUGAAGAGAAGUGGAGCAUAAUUUGUGUGCCGAUGCAACGCGCGGAAAUACUCUCCCCAUAGUCAUACUUAAAAGUAAAACAUCUCGUCAACAGAAACUUGAAAUUAAAGUUACCUAUGUAAUAAUAUAAAAUACACGAAUACACAAUUAUUAUUAUAUUAAUAAAGUAAUACAAUUAAAAAAAAAAAAAAACAGUAAUAAAUUGUUUAGAAUGAUAUUUGGUUAGUUUUUUUUUUGUAUUCUAAGAAAAACGAAGAACGUAUGAAUGGUUGUAUUAUUAUAAAUUAUUAUAAUUUGUUUAAUUUUUACGGUUUAUAUUUUCUAUCCAAAAUCUUGCUUCAAUCGAAAACCAAGAAGACACCUUUUCUAUUGCAUUUAAGUUUAAAAGUUACUGCGUUGGGGAUGUUAUUUUUUUGAUUUUCUAAAUAGUUUUGAUAAUAUUUGAGAAAAACCAAAAAAAAACGGAAAAGUAGGUACCUACAUGCCAUUAUAGUUUCAUGAUUUUCGAUUUUUGUUUUUUCGUUUUGAUGCGGUUAAAAAAAUUGCAGAGAUUUGACAUGUUAACAGUAUACUCUAUGGUUUUUCUGUGGGCGUAGUAAAAUUUUUAAAAUAUUGUUGAUAUCAAUUAUUUUUCGGAAAAGCUGACAAACUUUUUCUUACCCAAAUGUUUUUGAUGGUAUUUUAUACAUAUUUUUUUAAAUAAUAUAAAUCAUAAAUCUAUAUCUAUAUAUAUAUACAUUGUAUUCUCAAUUUUUUUUCUUUUAAAUGUAUUAUUUUUAUUUUUGAGUUUAUCUAUUAUAAAUAUAGAUAAAUUAAAUGUUACAUGAUUAACUAAAGGUGAUAUUGAAUAAAUGGAGGAAUUUGUGGAAUUACAUAUGAUUGUUUUAACCAUAUCUUAAAAAUUCGGGUUCUAAAUCGCCGAAUCUAGAGUUCCUCCUGGCUUCUAUAGUAAAAAAGAACAGUAAAUAAGUUUUGUUUGCUUACUCUGCACAUAAAUAUAUAAAAAAAUGUUGGAUAAUGUGUAGCUAUUCUUAUAGUGAUGAAAAAAAAGUAAGUAGUUUAAGAAAUAUAUAUUAUUAAUACUUUUUUUUUUCUUUUAGGUAGUUGUUUAAUAUUCUGGUGCAGUAAAUAUGACAACAAAUUCCUAUGGUAAGAUGACAUAGGUAUUUUAUUAUAAUACCUAUUAAGAUAAACGCAACAUCGUCAGUCGUUAUCUUAAAUCUACACCACUUGUGCCAAGACUAAGCCUACAGAGUUCAAAAUAUAAAUUAAGAAAAACCAGGUAAUUAUAGAACGAUAGGUACAUAAUAUUAACACAGUUUUAAAUACAUCAACAAUGGAAAAUAUAAUAUUGCGUAUUAUUGUUUGAAUUAUUUUUUUUUAAAACGCGACUAAAAAAAAUUAGAAUAUCUAGAAUAAUUAAAUUUAGACUUAUGUAUAACGAAACACCAUUGCUCAUGAAAAACGAUUCUGAGGAUCUGAGUGAAUUCUGGAAAAACAUAUUGUAGUAAAUUGUGCAUUUUAAAGAAACCAAAAAUUAUUUAAUCCUAAUAAAAUCUAAAAACAUGAAAAGUUUUAAUCACUUUAAAUAGUUUACUGAUAUCAAAAGUGAUUUAAAAAUUGUAUCAUGACUAGAAAUAGCUAUAAUAUUAGUAUUCUUUGAAAUUUGCAAAUUUUUAAAAUUAUUUUCAAUCAAUUGUUUACAACAAAAAAGCAAAAGAGCUGAUACUGCUAAUGGUUCUGCCACUCUUGUAGGUGAUGGGAAGCGGGGAAGGAGAGAUAUAUAGAUCAGAUACAGGAGAAGAGCGAUUUGGAAAAAGCCCCCCUGUUUGCUACCUAAUAUAAGUACUCAUAGCUUGAUUUUCAUCAUAAAUGAUUACAAUUAUUCUCUUCGCAUCCCAUAAUCAUGUACCUGAUCCUACCCUAAUUACCAAUACUUUAAUGCAGGAACAAUAAUUAUGUCAAUAAUAAAAUUAUGUGAACACUCGUAAUACUAAGUAAAAGUGAUGUGUAUCUACUACCUAAUAGUCUAAUAUUUGAACAUAUUUAUUGUCUAUUAAAGCUGGAAUAAACCCAGCGUAACCAAACUAAUAACUAUAGUACUAGUACCUAUAAUACACCCACUCUUGUAUAUAUUUAAUAUUUAUUUUUUAUUUGUUUUCAAUUGGGUUCGGCGUGUGACUGUUUCGAGCAUAUAUAUUGUAUUUAUAUAAAGUAGAACUACUUAGGGCUUAGGUGGAUAAUGUUUAAGGUAGUUGUGUUACGAGAUAUAAUUAUAAAAAUUGUAGAAUAAAUAAAUAGCAAAAUAAUAUCUUUAAUGUUAUUCCAAAAUCAAUACCUGUGCUAUAACAUGUUGAUGUUUCAGAAAUGUUUCCAUUGAAUAUUUGCUAUACAUAGUUUCACAGUGACGAGUCAUGCAAGUUAAAGCAAAAAAACAAUUGAUCAGCAUGUAUAUUGUUAAUAGUUACACAGAUCAAAAAAGAACAAACAAUAGCUGUAGACGCAUUAACAAAUUCAUAAUUGUAUAGUACAUAAACAUUUUUUAAAUCACUUAUAUUGGUUUUAUUGAAUCUAUUCAUCAAUAAAUUGUAAUCAUUGUAAAUAUUUAAAUUAUCGUACCUACGCGCUGGGGAUGACGGAGUUCGAAUAUUGGCUGGGAAAAUAACUCAUCCCUAAACUACAAUUAGAUUACUAACUAGACCAAAACCUGAUUAACUACUUAUAGUAAGAGUGUCAUCAAAACACUUGUGUAAGUAAUACAUUUAUUUUAUAUUCGGAAUAUCUAAUCAAAUAAAUGAUUAAAGAGUAUUCAGAAUAUGUAUUCGAAUAAUUUUAAAAAUAUAUAUAUAUAUAUAGUCUAAUAUUUUUUUGCAGUUAAUUUUUGUUAAUUUUAUAAAAAGUUCUAAAUUAAAUGUUUCUCAAUAUUUAAUUAAAUGAACUAAUAACUGAUUAGUAUAACUAAUUGAAUAUUAUAUCAUUAAUAGGCC